GGCCUGAUAGCAAAGUGGUAAUGCCGGAGUCUGCAAAACUCCUAUGCGUCGGUUCAAUUCCGUCUCAGGCCUCCA
rnacentral:tRNA from 1 species